rnacentral:tRNA from 1 species
GGCCCCGUGGUGUAGCCUGGUUAACACACAACACUGUCAAUGUUGAGAUCGCCGGUUCAAAUCCGGUCGGGGUCGCCA